rnacentral:lncRNA from 1 species
GGAUCUUUAACUGAUGAAGUCACAAAGUGGAAAAUGGAACCAGGAUAGAGAAUGAGGUCACAGAAGGCUGGUUAGAACUGAGGAGGCCCUACCAGCAGGCAAAAGUCAGGCCUUGUCCAGCAAUGGAGGUACAUGCACCUCUGCACCAGAUGCUCCUGCCUUUUUCUUUCGUAAUUUUGAAGGACCUCAGCUCCCUGCCUCCUAGAUUUUUGCUACUAUGGUCUCAGAGCUGUGUAAUUUGGAUGACUGAGAUGGAAAAACCUCUGGAAAACCUUUAUUUAUGUUGAAUAAGUAUUCCUUGAAUCCUUCCUCAGCAUCCUGGGUUAUAUUUGAUUUGCUCUGCUCAUGAUAACUUCAUGCCAAGGAGACUGCUAUCAGUUCUCUUAAAACAGAUCCCAACUCCCUGCUCAUAGUGGCCAAAGGAAUGGAGAUUUCAGGCUGAGUUUACUUACGUGCAUCAUCUUCAUCUAUCCAGAAGCAUCCCUGCACAAAACCUCUGUUUCUACCCUUCCAUUCACUCGGCUCACUUUUCUGCUCUUAGUACCCUUUGUUUCUUGUGAACUCUCCAGCAGGAGUGACUUGCAAUUUGUAUCCACUGACACUUAAGUUCUCGGAAGUGCUGGAGAAGUGUAUGGAAGUAAAUUAUCCUGAUGUAUAAUUUUGUGCAUGUGAAACUCACCGUGGAAGUGCCUAUCUAAUUUCAGUAUGGAACACAGCUAAACAUUUGGAUCAAUAAUCCAGUUUUGAAACCACACUUCAUUUAAAGUACAAUGUGCUGAAAAAAAUGAAAAAAGGGUGCUUUCAAAUUUGUACUUAGUAAACUUUCACUAGAUCACAUCAUAUGUUUAUCACUAGUCAUGUUGUAUUUCUAUGUGUAAUCGCCAGGCACUUUUAAUUUCUAGUUUGCAUUUACCAUGCCAGCCUCCUCCUCAAUCCCAAAUUUCCUUUGGUUAUAAAUUUAGUAAAUUUGAAAGAGCCAGCAGGGAUUAAACCCUGAAGGUAUUCAAAUGACUAUCUGACGUUAUUCCUCAUUUCAGCCAUUUCGAAAAAUUAUGCUUUCAUUUAGAAUAGGCUCUGGGAAUCAAAGUGUGUGUAUUUUGCCCAAGUAGAAGACACAGUUUAAAGUUAACAUCCUAGCUACUAGAAGGGAAAGCAAACAACAUCGCUGCAAAAGGAGCCUAUUUUUUUUUUACCUUACACUAAAACUACAUUGUGAAGAUCAAACGAAAUCAAGAUGAGAGUGUGCCUCUUAACGCCAGGUCCAAAGUAGAUGCUUAUUAAAUGAUAGUUUACCCCAAUCCUUCACAAAUGGUUGAUAGGUCUUACUAUUUCCCCCCUAUUCAAAUCUAGAAUUUUUUCACUCCCAUAUACUAAUCGAUAGUUAAUGGAAAGCACAGAAUAGAUCAUCGUCCAAGUGUUAGGUAUUAGCCUGAGGAAUCCGGAAUCCCAUAUUUGUAACUGUCCUUCUUGAGAAAGUGCAUUUUUCAGGCGGAUUCUAGCCCCAUUUUUCCUUUUACCAUUUUUACAUGUUAUGAGAGGUGGCUUAGAAAUACUUCGAUUUUUGCCUCUUCAUCACAACACACUGAACGUUAAAAUCAAGUGGUUGGGUUUUUAUUGGCUUAUUUUGUCUCUAACCGUUUUAUUUCUCGAGCUGUCAUCGUUCUUUUCGUCUUACAUCCUUAUGAACCUUUUCUGGAUUAAAAAAAUGACGUUAUAAUAAGGAAACUGUAACUGGCGUUGGAUUAGAACGAAG